UCUGGGUGCAGUGGCGCGUGCCUGUAAUCCCAGCAGCUGGGAGGCUGAGGCAGGAGGAUCACAAGUUCAAAGCCAGGCUCAGUAAUUUUGAGGCACUAAGCAACUCAGUGAGACUCUGUCUCUA
rnacentral:sRNA from 1 species